UAGGCGCACGGGUGAGUAACACGUAGGUAAUAUACCUUUGGGUGGGGAAUAACUUAGGGAAACUUAAGCUAAUACCGCAUAAUGCAGCGGCUCCUUCGGGAGACAGUUGUUAAAGAUUUAUCGCCUAAAGAGCAGCCUGCGGCAGAUUAGCUAGUUGGUAAGGUAACGGCUUACCAAGGCUACAAUCUGUAUCCGACCUGAGAGGGUGGUCGGACACACUGACACUGAAUAACGGGUCAG
rnacentral:rRNA from 1 species